rnacentral:lncRNA from 1 species
AAAAAAAAAAAUCCAUCAUGGCAAAUGGAAAGAGGUGUUCCCAUGUGUGUGUGUGUGUGCGCGCGUGUACGUUGUCAACCUACUGUGGACUUGCUGCUUGCCCGUGACCGGAGAUCACCACCAACCCCAGUGCAGGUGGGAGGAGGAGGAGCUGCGGUGCGUGGGUACUGGGUUGAGGAGGAGGAGGAGGAGGAGAGAUGCUCUGGGGAAGAGACUGCUGAGGCCUCCAGAGCCUCGGGGAUCUGCAGAAGAUGGCUACGGAGAACUUUAUUUCCCCCAUCCUGUGGACCUAAGGAUUUUGAUAUUGAGUUACAGACUUAGGUUUCAUGGCUUCAGAGGGGCACAGAAGCACCGGCAGCACCGCCUCCUCCACCGCCCAUGGGACGAGCAGGGACGUCUGCAGGGCUGUGAGACGGUGGGACCUGCAGCACCCCGUCCUGUACAUAACCCGUGAGCUGUCUGUAACAGAGGCAGUCUUUAUCUGCAGCUCAGAGCCCGGUG